rnacentral:rRNA from 1 species
CCUACGGGAGGCAGCAGUAGGGAAUUUUCCACAAUGGACGAAAGUCUGAUGGAGCAACGCCGCGUGAGUGAAGAAGGGUUUCUGCUCGUAAAGCUCUGUUGGUAGUGAAGAAAGAUAGAGGUAGUAACUGGCCUUUAUUUGACGGUAAUUACUUAGAAAGUCCCGGCUAACUACGUGCCAGCAGCCGCGGUAAUACGUAGGUGGCAAGCGUUGUCCGGAUUUAUUGGGCGUAAAGCGGGUGCAGGCGGUUCAAUAAGUCUGAUGGGAAAGCCUUCGGCUCAACCGGAGAAUUGCAUCAGAAACUGUUGAACUUGAGUGCAGAAGAGGAGAGUGGAACUCCAUGUGUAGCGGUGGAAUGCGUAGAUAUAUGGAAGAACACCAGUGGCGAAGGCAGCUGACUGGGCUGCAACUGACGCUGAGGCUCGAAAGCAUGGGUAGCGAACAGGAUUAGAUACCCCAGUAGUC